GCAUUGGUGGUUCGGUGGUAGAAUUCUUGCCUGUCACGCGGGAGACCUGGGUCCGAUUCCCAGCCAAUGCA